rnacentral:rRNA from 1 species
UACGGGGGGGGGCAAGCGUUGUUCGGAAUUACUGGGCGUAAAGGGCUCGUAGGCGGCCAACUAAGUCAGACGUGAAAUCCCUCGGCUUAACCUGGGAACUGCAUUUGUGACUGCAUCGCUGGAGUGCGGCAGAGGGGGAUGGAAUUCCGCGUGUAGCAGUGAAAUGCGUAGAUAUGCGGAGGAACACCGAUGGCGAAGGCAAUCCCCUGGGCCUGCACUGACGCUCAUGCACGAAAGCGUGGGGAGCAAACAGG